rnacentral:rRNA from 1 species
UACGGAGGGUGCAAGCGUUAUCCGGAUUUACUGGGUUUAAAGCGUGCGCAGGCGGUGAUGUAAGACAGAUGUGAAAUCCCCGGGCUCAACCUGGGACCUGCAUUUGUGACUGCAUCGCUAGAGUACGGUAGAGGGGGAUGGAAUUCCGCGUGUAGCAGUGAAAUGCGUAGAUAUGCGGAGGAACACCGAUGGCGAAGGCAAUCCCCUGGACCUGUACUGACGCUCAUGCACGAAAGCGUGGGGAGCAAACAGG